rnacentral:rRNA from 1 species
AUUGAACGCUGGCGGCAUGCUUUCCACAUGCAAGUCGAACGGUAACAGGUCAAGCUGACGAGUGGCGAACGGGAGAGCAAUGCAUCGGAACGUGCCCGAUCGUGGGGGAUAACGCAGCGAAAGCUGCGCCAAUACCGCACACGAUCUGCGGAUGAAAGCGGGGGACCGUAAGGCCUCGCGGGCUCGGAGCGGCCGAUGUCAGAUUAGGUAGUUGGCGGGGUAAAGGCCCCCCAAGCCGACGGUCUGUAGCUGGUCGGAGAGGACGACCAGCCACACUGGGACUGAGACACGGCCCAGACUCCUACGGGAGGCAGCAGUGGGGAAUUGUGGACAAUGGGGGCAACCCUGAUCCAGCCAGGCCGCGUGAGUGAAGACGGCCUUCGGGAUGUAAAGCUCUUUCGCGAGGGAAGAAAGCGCACUGGUUAAUACCUGGUGUGGAUGACGGUACCUUGAUAAGAAGCACCGGCUAACUACGUGCCAGCAGCCGCAGUAA